rnacentral:tRNA from 1 species
GGGGAGGUGCCAGAGCGGUUGAUUGGGGCUGCCUGCUAAGCAGUUGUGGGGGAAACUCCACCCAGGGUUCGAAUCCCUGCCUCCCCG